UGUAACCGCCAUUGGGGUAGGAAGCCUGGAACUAUUCUCCGCGUUUUCUGCCCUCUAGUGGCCAGAAGCCUAAACGCACACCGUGGAAGCUGGGCAGCGGAAUCAAGGGCAGAGAAAAAGCAUCUUUCUGAGGUCAGCCAUAAUUAUUGUUCGCUUGUAUCAGUUAGAGAUCAACGCCACAAACAUUUAUCAAGAAACUUGCAUUUCCCGGUGUGUAAACAUGGAACAGACACAGAUGCCUGAAGUUAUGAGUUAAAAACGAGAGAUCAGUAACUGGGUAGUGGAUGUGAAGCUCAUUCUAUAUUGGAGAUUUGCUUGAAGUGAUUGGCAAAAUAUUGAGGGAUGACAAAGGCACCCGUCCUGUGAGUAGUUGGAAUGUCUUGCUUAUGCUGGCUAUGUCUUUGAUCAUUAUCUUCCACACAUUGGCAUUUGGAAAAGGAGAAGAUCACUGAAAGAUACAGUUGUGGCGUUGAGCAGCACCAAGGAUUCGUUAAAGAGCAGGAUACGAUAAUGCUCCCAAUCUCCAGCAGGGGGCGUCCAGUUCACUGCGAAGGACUUCAUCCAAAUCUCAUUGUAUGAAACCAGAUUAAUCACCUUUUCUGGAACUAAAUGAAGAUAUGCCAAGAAAGUGUUGAAAACAAAAAAAAAAAAUAAGAACAUUCGUUUGCCUUUUUGGGAAGCAAUAUAUAAAAAACACAUUGUCUGCUGUUGUGCAUAUUUGUAUCCCCUCCAGAUAUCUGUGUACCUCAGGUUCUACUGCAAGGCCCUUUCCACAAGUGUCUACUGUUCUUCUAAAGGGGAAUGUAGUUCUUGGUCCCUUUUGUACAUACAAUUCUUACUUGAGACCUCUAAUGGCACUGAGACAGAACUCAAAUUGAACCACCUGGUUUAAAGCCAAGCUCCAGAACUUUCUGGGUAGAUGACCAUGAAUGAGUUAUUCAGUCAUUCCAGUUUGUCUGUACAAUGUCUAUACUAACAUCAUAGCUCCUAGUUUACAUUUUUCUUGCAAUAAAUAAAUGAAAUAGGUGUGAAGUGUUUAUGUGAGGUCUGACUUGUGAAAUUAUUAAUGUCAUUAGCAUUUCUAAAGGGUUCUAUUCUUGGUGUGUGUGUGUUUGGUUAAAAUGCAACAUCUAUUAAGCAAAGGUUGGUUUAAAAAACUUUAUUGAACUACAUAAACGACCCUAGAAUGAUCCUAUUUUAAUCUAGGGGAAUACAAAACAAGCUACCAAGUGGGUUUAUUCACAGGGUGUACUUCUCAGAACCUUGUCUUAAAGUCAAUAGUACAUCACAACCACCUUAAGAGUCUCUAAGGUUCAUA